rnacentral:rRNA from 1 species
AUUGAACGCUGGCGGCAUGCUUUACACAUGCAAGUCGAACGGUAACAGGCCGCAAGGUGCUGACGAGUGGCGAACGGGUGAGUAAUGCAUCGGAACGUGCCCAGUCGUGGGGGAUAACGCAGCGAAAGCUGCGCUAAUACCGCAUACGAUCUAUGGAUGAAGCGGGGGACCGUAAGGCCUCGCGCGACUGGAGCGGCCGAUGUCAGAUUAGGUAGUUGGUGGGGUAAAGGCUCACCAAGCCAACGAUCUGUAGUUGGUCUGAGAGGACGACCAGCCACACUGGGACUGAGACACGGCCCAGACUCCUACGGGAGGCAGCAGUGGGGAAUUUUGGACAAUGGGCGCAAGCCUGAUCCAGCAAUGCCGCGUGCAGGAAGAAGGCCUUCGGGUUGUAAACUGCUUUUGUCAGGGAAGAAAUCUUCUGGGCUAAUACCCCGGGAGGAUGACGGUACCUGAAGAAUAAGCACCGGCUAACUACGUGCCAGCCGCCGCGGUAAAAC